rnacentral:rRNA from 1 species
ACGCCGCGUGGGGGAUGAAGGCCUUCGGGUUGUAAACUCCUUUCGCUAUCGCAGCAGCCUUGGAGUGAGCGGUAGCUAGAUAAGAGAGCGCCGGCUAACUAUGUGCCAGCACGCCGCGGUAAUACGUAGGGUGCAAGCGUUGUCUCGGAAUUACUGGGCGUAAAGAGCUCGUAGGUGGUUUGUCGCGUUGUCUGUGAAAUCCCGGGGCUCUAACUUCGGGCGUGCAGACGAUACGGGCUUAACUUGAGUGCUGUAGGGGAGACUGGAAUUUCUGGUGUAGCGGUGAAAUGCGCUGAUAUCAGGAGGAACCCCCAGGGCGAAGGCAGGUCUCUGGGCAGUAACUGACGCUGAGGAGUGAAAGCAUGGGUAGCGAACAGGAUUAGAUACCCUGGUAGUCCAUCCCGUAAACGGGGGGCGCUAGGUGUAGGGGGCUUUCCACGUCUUCUGCGCCGUAGCUAACGCAUUAAGCGCCCCGCCUGGGGAGUACGGCCGCAAGGCUAAAACUCAAAGGAAUGGACGGGGGCCCGCACAAGCGGCGGAGCAUGUGGAUUAAUUCGAUGCAACGCGAAGAACCUUACCUGGGCUUGACAUGUACCGGAUCGGGCUAGAGAUAGUCUUUCCCUUGUGGUUGGUAUACAGGUGGUGCAUGGUUGUCGUCAGCUCGUGUCGUGUAGAUGUUGGGUUAAGUCCCGCAACGAGCGCAACCCUUGUCUUAUGCUUGCCAGCACGUUAUGGCGGGAACUCAUGAGAGUCUGCCGGGGUUAACUCGCAGGAAGGUGGGGAUGAUGUCAAAUCAUCAUGCCCCUUAUGUCCAGGGCUUCACACAUGCUACAAUUGUGUCGAUACAAUGCGGCAGCGACAUGGCGAGGUGAAGCGAAUCCUAGUAAGUCGUCCUUCGUUCAGAUACGGGUAAACAACUUGACACCAAGUAGUUGGAGUGGGUAGUAAUCGCAGAUCAGCAACGAAGCGGUGAACAAGUUCCCGGCCCUAGCACACACCGCCCGUCA